UACGUAGGAGACGAGCGUUGUCCGGAGUUACUGGGCGUAAAGGGUGCGCAGGUGGCGGCGCGCGUGGGGGGUGAAAUCGCCCGGCUUAACUGGGCGGGGGCCUUCCAGACGGCGUGGCUUGAGCAGCGGAGGGGGACGUGGAAUUCCGGGUGGAGCGGUGAAAUGCGUAGAGAUCGGGAGGAACAUCAGUGGCGAAGGCGGCCAUCUGGGACAACACUGACGCUGAGGCACGAAAGCGUGGGGAGCAAACAGG
rnacentral:rRNA from 1 species